rnacentral:rRNA from 1 species
AGGGUAAAGGCCUACCAAGGCCACGAUCGGUAGCUGGUCUGAGAGGAUGAUCAGCCACACUGGGACUGAGACACGGCCCAGACUCCUACGGGAGGCAGCAGUGGGGAAUAUUGGACAAUGGGCGCAAGCCUGAUCCAGCAAUGCCGCGUGUGUGAAGAAGGCCUGCGGGUUGUAAAGUCCCUUUAGGCGGGGAAGAACGGCCGGGCGCAAAUAGCGCGCGGCUCUGACGUUACCCGCAGAAUAAGCACCGGCUAACUCCGUG